GGCUUUUUAUGCAUGGCCCCUAACAUGGGGUCUCCACAGAAACAUUGCAAGGGUUUUUUCCCAGGAGUCUCUGGGACUGAGAGAUAAUUGAGCUCUAAACCGGUAACUCAAUUAUCUCUCAGUUACAGGAAAUAACAUAUAAUAUUGAAAAUCACCCGAAAACAUAAGAAAAUAGUAUCGGAACCCCACAAGUCUUAUAUUCCCGAAUAGCCCAUGUCUGAGCGCCCAACAUAUCCAUAAAGCGCUCAGAUCUGUUUGGUGAGACGAAAUCGCCAUUCGGGAGAAGUUUUGACCAGCCGGCCACGAGGUGAUGCCCCAAAAGAGUUUCAGAGAUUCGGGAGUUCCUGUGCGAACACCGACGAACGUUCCCCUUGGCUCAUAAGUAGCGAAUGCUCCCACCAGUCAGUAGAUCAUAUAUCUUUCGUUAUCAUGAAACAUGCCCCCAAAAAUCUAUAACAAUUUACAAAUCAAAUAUAAAAUGUUCAUAUAAAUAGAGUAAAGUAAAACCUUUUUUUAGUAUGAUCGAACUUUUUGCAUUAUACUUUCUGCCCAGAAGGGGGAGCUGUAGUUCUACAAACUAGUAAUACUGAGCCAAUGGUUCACUGUCCCUGGAGUAGCUCAUUUGAGUGAUUUAUCCAUUAGAUUAUUCGAACUUCCUUUUCACCAAUGU